GUCCUGACUUCCUUUGGUGAUGAACAGCAAUGUGGAAGUCUACUCAUCGAAUUGUUCUGCUUGGAAAAACUGCCUCUGAAUUCCAAUAACUAAACUACACUGACUUUGUAACUGAAUGGAACUCAAUGGAACUUCCCAAACUCAACUGAACUCCAGUCAGAGGGAUUAAAGAUGAAGAUGCCUUUAGGGUCUGAGUCACAGACCAUGGCUGUCCUGCUCAUCAGAGAAUUCGAGGGAAGAGACUUGCUGAUAGCAAUGGGUAAGUGAGAUCCAGGAUUGUAGGCCUAGGAUGACCCGGGCUAAGGGCACGAGCUUGCUAAUUAUGCAAAAUUCAUCCAAAAUCCUGGCAGCUUUACCCGGGUCUAAAUGAUACCUCAUUUUGGUAUCACUUGAAAUGUUAGAUGAGUUAAUAUGUACACAGUUCUCAGUACAGUACUUGUUGAAUAAACAACCCAGAAACCAGAGUGGCUGUUGUGAUUGAGAGAGACUUGGGGGCCAGCUUUUCUUCUUUAGCAUCAUUCAGUAUACUAUCCUUCAACAUGUUAGUCAAACUAUAGCCCACAGAUCAAAUACAGGCCUCUGCAUGUGAGCCAAGAAUGUUUCUUUCAUUUCUAAGUGGUUGCAAGGUGAUCAAAAGAAGGCUAUUUUGUGACUUAUGCAAAUGACAGGAAAUUCAACCUUCGGUGUCCAUAAAUAACAUUCUGUUGGAACCCGGCCACACCCAUCAGCUCUGCCCUGACUAUGGCUCUUGCUGGGUCGUAAGCGCAAGAGGAAAUUGCAGUAGCAGUGAGCAGAUGGCCUGGCCAGCCAAACACCCUACUGGCCUUUACCUCAAGUAUGCAGAGUAGGCUUUAGGGAGUCCUAGGCACAGAGCAAAGAUGAGAUGUUGUUUCUCUUCACAGAUCCAGAGAGGGUUCAGCUCUCUGUCCCUCGGCAUGGGCUUUGCGUGGCUUUUGCUAAUGGGACCAUUUGUCUAAACUGUCUCCUCACCUUCCAUGGGUCAAAGCGGAGUUGUUAAUGCUUAGGAAUCAGCAUCCUGAAAGAAGAAGGCCAGCAUUUCACGUCAGCCGGAUUUUGUGUUUGAAUACAUCCACAAUGGUUGAUCUGAAGUUUACCAAUUUUCAUGCCAACUGCCUUUUUAAAAAAAAAUAAAUCCUUAUUACUUUGAACAUCGGUUCUGGUGAGGUAACCAGACCCACAGCACUUGGCCCCUGCUCCUAGCCUUGCUACUGCUCUGAUGUCUGUGCUCAAUGCACAAGGAAGUAAUGAUUAGUUGGGGGAGGGGGUAUUGAUUUAUUCUUCUGUCAGAGUCUUAGCUCAGAAUGUGUUAUUUCAAAAUAGUCACCGCACGUGAGGGAUUCGACACAGAGGGAAGCUGACACCAGAGGUAGAAACCACUAGGAACGAAGAAGACUGAGCCCUGGAGAAAGAUCUGACACAUGUAGUUUUUUUUUCGUUGUUGUUGUUGUUUUUGUUUUUAAUUUUAAUAGCCUAGUGAGUGUCACAGAGCCUACUGAUUUGUCUGUUUUAUCCAUAAUCUUCUGACUUAGCUAUUCUCUGAGCACGGCUGAAGUGAGGAACAGAGGGUAUCUAAGGUGAGUUUCUAGCCAAGGAAAAUAAUAGCUAAUGCUAAGGUGUGGGGUGACUGUCUCUGAAUCCCCUCCCUCCUCUGGGUUUGCCACGGGAUCCAUCUUUCAUCUCUGGCUUUACGUUUGGGACGAGCUGAGUCGCUCUUUCUGUGUUGAUUACACUCGGUGCCCGAGGCUAGGUCUACCGUAUUCCUCCAGUGCAUAACACGAGGCUAUCACAGAGCAAGUGUCUAACAAACGGAGCUCAGCGCACUGCACCCGGUCUAACUCACAGCUCUCUUGUCUCACAGGCAAUUUUAGGGACCCCAAGAGAGAGGUUUAUCUCCAUAAAGCAAGCCCUUCCGGGGUCCCACAAAGUCUGUAUGAAAGCCCACACAUGCCCUCUGCCUUGUGGUCCUUCAGUCUGCGUGCUAAGUUUUCCUAUUCAUCCAAGCCAGGGGAAAUCUGACCGAUAAUGGGAGAAGCACUCGCUACAAGAGGUUUAAACAAGCUGCCGAGAGCACAGAGCACAGAGCACUGCAAAAGCCCACGUUCAGCUCCGGGCAGGGCCCAGUGUGCGGGGAGUCUGAAGAGACUGGCGGCAUCUCUCUCCAAGUGACGCGUGUGAACAUUAAAGACAACAAUGACCUUCAAAACAGUUUGCAUCCCAUCUUUAACCUUCAAAUUGGCAGUCGGUUGGUCUCACACCCGUGCCCUCCUUUUUGCCCUUCUUUCUGCCUCGCCAAGUCACCAACUUCUCUUUUUUUCCAGGUUUUUUUUUUUUUUUUUUUUUUGUGGUCCGUGACUUGGUGCCGAGCCAGACAUAUCUGUGAAUUUGCAUGUUGUGGGGUCACCCCUAGGCUGGCUUCCAAGGCCCAGCAUGGUAAAGAACUUAUUUGGGGUAGAAAGCACGUUGAUCAGAAAGUGUUAUUUUUACAGUCCUUGUUUUUAUUAUUGUAACCAAAUUCCAGAAACAUACUUGGACUGAGGCUUCAGCCUGACGCACAAAGGCCUUACAGAGUUCUUCAGGCAUAGUAUAAUUUUAGCUCAGGCCAGCGGCCGCCGUUAACAAAGCAAGGAACCUUUCCACUGUGUAUUCUCUUCCCUCUCUGAGCAGAAAACAAACUUUGGGUUGUCCUGGGGUUUGUGGGUCGAUUCUUUUGCCCGGAGAACUGUAAGGCUUUGCUGCAUGAGGGAGCUAAGCUCAUGGCUAAAACAGGCAGCCCUAAACUGACAGCAUCAGGCACCAGUUGUUCCCACAGUCGCUCCCAAAUCAGGCCCAGACAGGGCUGGAAAACACAUUCUUUCUUCUUUACCUCAGUUAAUGUGUGUGUGCGCUAUUCGUGUUGACACUGGGACACAGGGGAGAAAGAACUUGAGGCUUAGAUAGCCGUCCAAGGAUUACCUCACAGUUACUGUGCCCGAUGUGCUUGUUCAUAUAUUAAAGUCUCUAAUAUCAGUACAAUCAUCAAAUUUGAUCAUACUCCAUCAUUUGAUUAGUAGCGAUUUUUUUUUAAUUUCUGUAGUAACACACAAAAUUAACGGGUGUGAGACAACCAAUGGUGCCUCAGAUUUAACACUAGGAUAUCCGAUAUUGGUGCUUGAUCUGUGCCUGCAGUUGGAAAGCCCAAAUAUACCUGUCAUAGUCUAUGAAGUUCCUAAGUUGUGGUGUUCCUAUCUGAAAGUCCACUGGUGUCACCUCUAGUUUUACUGUCCAUGUGUCUAUGCUCUCUGUGUCACACAAUUAACAUUCACUGAGCUCUCCCUGACCCUGGGCCUUAGCCUAAGUACUUUCCCUUCUCUCCUCAUUGUCCUAUAGAGAUGCUGUUAUGACCCUGUUACCCACGUCUGGUGACAUCCAGAGGGUCAGUGAGUCUGCACCAGUCCUCCUGCAUUUUUAACCAUCUGUCUUCCUGAGUCAGAUCCUGUUGCUGAGUUUUGAGCUAAUUUAAAACUCUAUCUCUCACACCCGCCAGGUGACUGACUGUGUGGAAGAAGGCUCCAGGUGACUGACUGUGUGGAAGAAGGCUCCAGGAGACAGCAUCGGACAGGAGAGAUGUGUGGCAAAGUAAGAAACUGGGAUCUUAACUGCUGAUUCAGAUUUUAUUCUCAGGAACAUCUUUCUUCUUCAAGUGAAAGUUUUUCCUUUCAAUCUGUAUGAGCCUUUUUUUUUUUUUUUUUUUCCUGGCUAAGCUGAUUCGGGGCUUCUUAGAGUAUUUUCCAGUGAUCAGUUUGCUUAAGUUUUGAGACAGAGUCUCACACUCUGGUUAAGGCUGACUUGGAGCUCACUAUUCAGGUUAGGCUAGCCUCGAACUCACAAAAGCCCUCCUGCUAGCAUACUCAGUACUUAGAUUACAGUUGUGAGGAGCUGCUGCACCUGACUCCAUUUUAAUCACUAAACAAAUGUGUGGGUUUUAUUUUAUUUUUGAGAUAGGACAUCACAUAGUCCAGGCUAGCCCGGAACCUCUCACCUCUACCUCCCAAGUGCUGGGAUUAUAAAACAAAGAUUUUACCCACUUUGCCUGACUCUGUCUUAUGUAACUCAAACUGGCCUGGAACUCCUGAUAUUCCUCCCCCCACAUUAUUUCAGGUGCUUAGGUUAAAAGGGCCAAGGCACGACCUGGCCCUACAGUCAGCUCUAAUCUCUGAGUCCUCGGUUACUAAGGGAAGCAGUCUAAAGAGCCGUAUUACCCAAGGUUAUAUUAUGCAGGGACCCAUGAUGUACUUAGUCAGACUCAAAUGUUAGUUUUUUUCAAGUAGUCACAGAUUAGGACUGAAGUAUAUAGUAAUGAAAUUAGUUUUCAGACACACUCAGACAGGUUAACAAACAGGCCACUACACUGUUCCUAAUCCGAAAAAGCCUCUUGUGCCCCAGCUGAGGUCCCCUGAGAAUCCUUCAGUUUUACUCUUUGCUGUUUUGUGGUAGAACCCAGUGAGCAGCAGCACAGAGGCUGCAAUGAAGACAGCGGGUGCAUAGCCCCAGUGAGGAGGAGG
rnacentral:sRNA from 1 species